GGGUGAUUAGCUCAGCUGGGAGAGCGAGCAGUUGACUUUUAAUCAAUUGGUCGCAGGUUCGAAUCCUGCACGACCCACCA
rnacentral:tRNA from 1 species